rnacentral:lncRNA from 1 species
CUGACACAAUAUCAGAUUACAGAAUAAUUCACAAGUAAGAGUCUUUUUACCACAGAUUUAAUUUAAGAAACCUCUGGAUCGGAUUAGAAUCACAAAGUAGGGAGAUUCAACCAAAAAAGAAUGAAUCUUUAAGUAAGAGAUGAUAUGAUUCUUUUUUUUGUUUUCAGAAAAAAACUUAGCAAAUGAUUGGUAUAUAGAAGAAUCUGGUGGAGUUGGAGAAGAAGAAGAAGGAACGAGUUACCAGAUUCGUCGAAUUGGUCGGGAUUGCGUAAUCGAAGAAGGUGUUCUCACGCUAGAAGCAAUUAUCCAACCACGUAAGCAUCAUCGAUCGGCUCGGCUUGUACUUG